rnacentral:rRNA from 1 species
GAUGAACGCUAGCGGCAGGCUUAAUACAUGCAAGUCGAGGGGUAGCAAGAUUGUAGCAAUACAAUUGUUCACGACCGGCAAACGGGUGCGGAACACGUACACAACCUUCCUACAAGUGGGGAAUAGCACAGAGAAAUUUGGAUUAAUACCCCGUAACAUAGCGAUGUGGCAUCACAUGGCCAUCAUACCUUCGGCGCUUGCCGAGGGGUGUGGGGCUGAUUGGAUAGUUGGCGGGGGACCGGCCCACCAAGUCUACGAUCAGUAGCUGAUGUGAGAGCAUGAUCAGCCGCACGGGAACUGCGACACGGGCCCGACUCCGACGGGAGGCAGCAGUAAGGAAUAUUGGACAAUGGACGCAAGUCUGAUCCAGCCAUGCCGCGUGAAGGAUUAAGGUCCUCUGGAUUGUAAACUUCUUUUAUAAGGGACGAAAAAAGGUCUUUCUAGAUCGUCUGACGGUACCUUAUGAAUAAGCACCGGCUAACUCCGUGCCAGCAGCCGCCGUAACAC